ACACUGACUCAUAAUUAUUUCUUUAUCUUUUAAGAUCAAAGAAAUAAUACACGAUUGUAUUUAAUAUAAUUAUUCAAUUAUGGAUGCUUUUCGCGCGUUCAUUGUAACGCCAUCUGUGAUAGCGUUAUAUGAAGUAAUAUUUGCAGCAUUUGUAAUCGCAGUUAAUCUCAUCAUGAAAAUAUAAUUAGACGUUGUAUGGAGCAAUUAUUACCAGUGACUCGUAUUCUAACCAAACAAUUGACGACAUUCCGAGAACGUCAACUUUCUCUCGUAAUCACAAAUAAUUGUAACGCAUCGUUCAUACAUAGAGUAUUUCUUCCGAUAAUUAUCACCAAUGUUUCCCAGUGUCUCCUACGGUUAUUAUCCAAAGAAUUCAUAAUUUCUCUACAAUAUCAGCCCGUCUGUUUUAUCCUUAAUACUCUUAUACAAAUAUGUCUUCCAGUGUCUCCUACAUAUGUCUACCAUCUAAAGAACCCAUAACACCUCAACAACAUGAAUCCUUCUAUUUUACCUUUGAACAUCCACAAUUCAGCACUCUCGUACAAACAGUCCGCGAGAGAAAUAUUUCCUGGUGCACACCCCUUGAUCUUCCCACCUGCCAUCGGCCCACGCGAUGCUUCUGCGAGAUACCGAGUUUACACGGGUGGCGGUCACCAGAACAUUCGAAUCAAUGGGAAAGAAAAACUCUGAAGAGCCAUCGUUAACGUUCGAUGUCUCAUGAUGAAUCGUUGGAUGUUACCAUUGAGUUCUUAUGGAAGAUCCAUUUUGGAUGGAUUCGCAAGGAAAAAUUCUCUACUUUAUCUUAGAAACUUUUGUUCUUUAUAUUAAUUUUAGAAACUACUACCAAAGGAAAUUACGUUAAUUCUGUUCAUGUCAUUUGUGUUCUUUAUAUUAAUUGUCAGUA